GAGAAGGAAGUAGUAUGAGAAUUCUCAGUCCUCCCAGGAAUGAUACUGCGCUCUGGAACUACUGUGCACAGGAAGAAAGACCCACAGAGCCCUGCGGUGAGAGCCGUGGGUCUGGUGGAGGCCCGCCCCAAUGCCACUCAACCUCCGUUACUUCAUUUACAAAAUGGGCACGCUGACGGGCUACUUCUUGAACACCAAGGCCUGCAACUCCUUCGAAGUUUCUGGAUCCUGGAUCUAUAAUGAAAGUAGGUGCUAUGAUGUCCAUUGUGUUGAUGGAAACACUGAGACCCUGAGUGCACCAGGGAGCAGCUGGAGAUCAGACUGCCACCUCCUCAACUGAUGACAUUCCAGAUGCCACCGGGCCCAGAUUCCCCAUCCCUCUCUUGGAGAGCCUGUGCCUAAAUCCCCCUGGGGUGGGAUGAUAAAGCCUCCUUUGACUCUCACCCCAGUAGCUUUGAAGAGUGUAUCAUUUAGGAUGAUUUCAGUCACAAGAGAAAGUUCCCCAACUAACGUUGGCUGAAACUCUUAAGACCUUCUUUCAGUAACAAUAAUUCAUCAGGUAGAGCUGCUAAGUCAGCAGCUGAUGGGGCUGUGGGGCUGUUUCCCUUUGAUUUCCUUCACUUGUCCUCAUGGUCACAAGAUGGCUGCUGGAGCCUGAAGUGCAGCAUCCAUUCAUUCAUUCAUUCAACAAAUAUUUAAUAAGUGCUACUAUGUGUUGGGCACAUUUCUCAGCAUUGGAAACACAACAGUGAAUAAAACUUAUGGAAAUCCUUGCCCACAAGGAACUUCCAUUGUAGUGGGUAAAGGGGAGAUAAUGAACAAAAUAAAUUUUAAAACUACGUAGUAUAUUAGUGACAUGUUAUAGAAAACAAUAAAAAGAAUAAAGGUAAUGAGAAGGAUAAGGAUAUUUUUAAAAUAUCCUCACUGAGAAGCUGAUAUUUGAACAAAGACCUGAAGAUGUGAAAGAAAAAUCCAGUGAAGAUCUGGAGGAAGGGUGUUCUAGGUGAUUCACGAAUGGGGGCAGCAUCCGGUCUAACAACUGAAGGGCGUUCCAUUCCAGGUCGAGGGGUUG
rnacentral:lncRNA from 1 species